UACGAAGGGGGCUAGCGUUGCUCGGAAUUACUGGGCGUAAAGGGCGCGUAGGCGGAUAUCUAAGUCGGGGGUGAAAGCCCGGGGCUCAACCUCGGAAUUGCCUUCGAUACUGGAUAUCUUGAGUUCGGGAGAGGUGAGUGGAAUUCCGAGUGUAGAGGUGAAAUUCGUAGAUAUUCGGAGGAACACCAGAAGCGAAGGCGGCUCACUGGCCCGAUACUGACGCUGAGGCGCGAAAGCGUGGGGAGCAAACAGG
rnacentral:rRNA from 1 species